rnacentral:rRNA from 1 species
UCGAACGCGCAGCAAUCUGUAGCAAUACAGGUUGUGGGCGCGUGGCGAACGGGUGCGUAACACGUGGAUAACCUUCCUUCAGGUGGGGAAUAACCCAGUGAAAAUUGGGCUAAUACCGCAUAACAAGACGAUGCCACAUGGUGUUGUCUUCAAAGGCGCAAGUCGCCAGAAGAGGGAUCCGCGGCCGAUUAGCUUGUUGGCGGGGUAAUGGCCCACCAAGGCAUUGAUCGGUAGCCGGACUGAGAGGUUGGCCGGCCACACUGGAACUGAGACACGGUCCAGACUCCUACGGGAGGCAGCAGUGGGGAAUCUUGCACAAUGGACGAAAGUCUGAUGCAGCAACGCCGCGUGGGGGAUGAAGCUUCUCGGAGUGUAAACCCCUUUCGACCUGGAAGAAAGCCCGCAAGGGUCUGACGGUACAGGUAUAAGAAGCCCCGGCUAACUACGUGCCAGCAGCCGCGGUAAUACGUAGGGGGCCAGCGUUGCUCGGAAUUACUGGGCGUAAAGGGUCCGUAGGCGGUGUGGUAAGUCGGGAGUGAAAUCCCUGGGCUUAACCCAGGGGCUGCUUCCGAAACUGCCGUGCUAGAGUGUGAGAGAGGCGAGUGGAAUUACGGGUGUAGCGGUGAAAUGCGUAGAUAUCCGUAGGAACAUCCGAGGCGAAGGCGGCUCGCUGGAUCACAACUGACGCUGAGGGACGAAAGCUAGGGGAGCAAACAGGAUUAGAUACCCUGGUAGUCCUAGCCCUAAACCAUCA